rnacentral:rRNA from 1 species
GUAGUCAUAUGCUUGUCUCAAAGAUUAAGCCAUGCAUGUGUAAGUAUAAGUAUUGUACAGCGAAACUGCGAAUGGCUCAUUAAAACAGUUAUAGUUUAUUUGAUAAUCGAAAGUUACAUGGAUAACCGGGACCAAUUACCGCUAAUUCCUGCAUCCAGACCUCCUUGAAGGUGGUAAUUAUUAUUCCUAAACCAUUUGCUCCGGCAUGGUGAUGAAUCUUAUUAAUCAAACAAAUCCCAAAAUUCUGCGAUAAAUAAUUAAAGUUUCUGCCCUUUCAUCUUUGAAUGGUAGGGUAUUGGACUACCAUGGCAAUCACGGGUAACGGAAAAUUAGGGUUCGAUUCCGGAAAGGGAGCCUGAAAAACGGCUACCACAUCUACCGAAGGCAGCAGGCGCGAAAAUUGCCCAAUCCUGAUUCGGGGAGGCAGUGACAAGAAAUAACAACUUUCAACUUUGUUGAAAAGUGUAAUGAGGAUAAUUUACAAAUCUUACCGAAAGCCAUUGGAGGUCAAGUCUGGUGCCAGC